UAUCAUAAAGAGGGGAUACGAUAUUGG
rnacentral:sRNA from 1 species